GGCACUUGAGUUGUUUGAGAUCUUCGAGCAUUAUGGUGGGUUUGAUAUGGGCUGUAGCACCUAUGAUGCAUUAGUCAGUGCGUUUGUAGCAUUAAGAUCAAUCCCAGGAGCGAAAAGGAUGUUUAAUUAUAUGAUGAGUAGUGGUUUUGAACCUCAUCAGUAUAUGAAAAACAGAAUACUGCUUACGCGUGUUAAAUAUGGGAUGAUGAUCCAUGAACAUAAAUGGUUUGACAAAAUGCCUGACAGAAAUCUGGUUUUCCGGAAGCGGACUAUAUGGAAGCCUUUAGGAUGUUUCUGAUUAUGUGGGAUGAGUUUUCUGACGCUGGGUCUCGCAUUUUUGCCACUAUGAUCUUGGCGUCUGCUGGGUUGGGAUUGAU
rnacentral:misc_RNA from 1 species